rnacentral:rRNA from 1 species
AGUGAACGCUGGCGGUAGGCCUAACACAUGCAAGUCGAACGGCAGCACAGUAAGAGCUUGCUCUUACGGGUGGCGAGUGGCGGACGGGUGAGGAAUACAUCGGAAUCUACUUUUUCGUGGGGGAUAACGUGGGAAAACUUACGCUAAUACCGCAUACGACCUACGGGUGAAAGCAGGGGAUCUUCGGACCUUGCGUGAUUGAAUGAGCCGAUGUCGGAUUAGCUAGUUGGCGGGGUAAAGGCCCACCAAGGCGACGAUCCGUAGCUGGUCUGAGAGGAUGAUCAGCCACACUGGAACUGAGACACGGUCCAGACUCCUACGGGAGGCAGCAGUGGGGAAUAUUGGACAAUGGGCGCAAGCCUGAUCCAGCCAUACCGCGUGGGUGAAGAAGGCCUUCGGGUUGUAAAGCCCUUUUGUUGGGAAAGAAAAGCAGCAGGUUAAUACCCCGCUGUUCUGACGGUACCCAAAGAAUAAGCACCGGCUAACUUCGUG